UACAGAGGUCCCAAGCGUUGUUCGGAUUCACUGGGCGUAAAGGGUGCGUAGGUGGUGAGGUAAGUCGGAUGUGAAAGCUCCGAGCUAAACUCGGAAAUGGCGUUGGAAACUACCUUGCUCGAGGGUUUGAGGGGGGACUGGAAUACUUGGUGUAGCAGUGAAAUGCGUAGAUAUCAAGUAGAACACCAGUGGCGAAGGCGAGUCCCUGGAAAACUCCUGACACUGAGGCACGAAAGCUAGGGGAGCAAACAGG
rnacentral:rRNA from 1 species